GUUCAUUCGUAUGAAAGAACGGUAUAGUAGGUUACAAUAUGGUGCAAGGCGAAAGGGGGAUUAAAAGUGAGACAUGCGGGCUAGCAUUCGACUGAAACAUAAACAAAAUGGUAGAACUGCAUGCAUACAUAAUGUCUGCGGUCGGUUGGUGACCGCACGAAUGACUGAACGAACGUAAGUAUACCCAGCAGUGGUCGACUGAUUAGCCGCACGAACCACGGAAGUGCACAAACGGG